rnacentral:rRNA from 1 species
CACGUAGGGCGCAAGCGUUGUCCGGAAUUAUUGGGCGUAAAGAGCUCGUAGGCGGCUUGUCGCGUCGGCUGUGAAAACCUGGGGCUCAACCCCGGGCCUGCAGCCGAUACGGGCAAGCUAGAAUUCGGUAGGGGAGACUGGAAUUCCUGGUGUAGCGGUGAAAUGCGUAGAGAUCUGGAAGAACACCAAAGGCGAAGGCAGCAUCCUGGGAAGCGCCUGACGCUCAUGUGCGAAAGCUAGGGGAGCGAACGGG